rnacentral:rRNA from 1 species
GACGAACGCUGGCGGCGUGCUUAACACAUGCAAGUCGAACGCUGAAGCUCAGCUUUUGUUGGGUGGAUGAGUGGCGAACGGGUGAGUAACACGUGAGUAACCUGCCCCCUUCUUUGGGAUAACGCUCGGAAACGGGUGCUAAUACUGGAUAUUCACUGGUCUUCGCCUGGGGGUUGGUGGAAAGGGUUUUUCUGGUGGGGGAUGGGCUCGCGGCCUAUCAGCUUGUUGGUGGGGUGAUGGCCUACCAAGGCUUUGACGGGUAGCCGGCCUGAGAGGGUGACCGGGCACAUUGGGACUGAGAUACGGCCCAGACUCCUACGGGAGGCAGCAGUGGGGAAUAUUGCACAAUGGGCGCAAGCCUGAUGCAGCGACGCCGCGUGAGGGAUGGAGGCCGUCGGGUUGUGAACCUCUUUCGCUCAUGGUCAAGCCGCAACAAUGGUUGUGGUGAGGGUAGUGGGUAAAGAAGCGCCGGCUAACUACGUG